rnacentral:rRNA from 1 species
AGAGUUUGAUCCUGGCUCAGAACGAACGCUGGCGGCAGGCCUAAUACAUGCAAGUCGAGCGCACCUUCGGGUGAGCGGCGGACGGGUGAGUAACACGUGGGAAUAUGCCCUUCACUAUGGAAUAGCCUCGGGAAACUGAGAGUAAUACCAUAUACGCCCUUCGGGGGAAAGAUUUAUCGGUGAAGGAUUAGCCCGCGCCUGAUUAGGUAGUUGGUGGGGUAAUGGCCUACCAAGCCUACGAUCAGUAGCUGGUUUGAGAGGAUGAUCAGCCACACUGGGACUGAGACACGGCCCAGACUCCUACGGGAGGCAGCAGUAGGGAAUCUUAGACAAUGGGCGCAAGCCUGAUCUAGCCAUGCCGCGUGUGUGACGAAGGCCCUAGGGUCGUAAAGCACUUUCGCCAGAGAUGAUAAUGACAGUAUCUGGUAAAGAAACCCCGGCUAACUCCGUGCCAGCAGCCGCGGUAAUACGGAGGGGGUUAGCGUUGUUCGGAAUUACUGGGCGAAAAGCGUACGUAGGCGGAUUAGUCAGUCAGAGGUGAAAUCCCAGGGCUCAACCCUGGAACUGCCUUUGAUACUGCUAGUCUUGAGUUCGAGAGAGGUGAGUGGAAUUCCGAGUGUAGAGGUGAAAUUCGUAGAUAUUCGGAGGAACACCAGUGGCGAAGGCGGCUCACUGGCUCGAUACUGACGCUGAGGUACGAAAGUGUGGGGAGCAAACAGGAUUAGAUACCCUGGUAGUCCACACCGUAAACGAUGAAUGCCAGUCGUCGGCAAGCAUGCUUGUCGGUGACACACCUAACGGAUUAAGCAUUCCGCCUGGGGAGUACGGUCGCAAGAUUAAAACUCAAAGGAAUUGACGGGGGCCCGCACAAGCGGUGGAGCAUGUGGUUUUAUUCGAAGCAACGCGCAGAACCUUACCAACCCUUGACAUCCUUGUCGCGGUUACCAGAGAUGGUUUCCUUCAGUUCGGCUGGACAAGUGACAGGUGCUGCAUGGCUGUCGUCAGCUCGUGUCGUGAGAUGUUCGGUUAAGUCCGGCAACGAGCGCAACCCACAUCCUUAGUUGCCAGCAGUUCGGCUGGGCGCUCUAGGGAAACUGCCCGUGAUAAGCGGGAGGAAGGUGUGGAUGACGUCAAGUCCUCAUGGCCCUUACGGGUUGGGCUACACACGUGCUACAAUGGCAGUGACAAUGGGUUAAUCCCAAAAAACUGUCUCAGUUCGGAUUGGGGUCUGCAACUCGACCCCAUGAAGUCGGAAUCGCUAGUAAUCGCGUAACAGCAUGACGCGGUGAAUACGUUCCCGGGCCUUGUACACACCGCCCGUCACACCAUGGGAGUUGGGUCCACCCGAAGGCCGUGCGCCAACCAGCAAUGGGGGCAGCGGACCACGGUGAGCUCAGCGACUGGGGUGAAGUCGUAACAAGGUA